rnacentral:rRNA from 1 species
AAUGAACGCUGGCGGUAGGCCUAACACAUGCAAGUCGAACGGCCCCUUAGUAAUAACUUGCUCAUAUGGGAGGCAAGUGGGGGACCGUGGACGAAUACGUCGAAAUCUACUUUUUCAUGGAGAAUAACAUAGGGAAACUUACUCUAAUAACACAUACAACCUACAGGGAAAAGCCCGCGACCUUCUAGCCUUGUGCGAUUGAAUGAGCCCAUGUCGGAUAAGAUACUUGGCUGGGUAAAGGCCAUCAUCGGCCACAAUGCGAAUCUGGUCUGAGACGAAGAUCUACCGCACUGAAACUGAGACACUCUCCAAACUCCUACGGAAGGCAGAUCUGGGCAAUAUUGGACAAUGAUCACAGGCCUGAUCCAGCCAUACUCCUUGGGUGAAGAAGAUCUUCAGGUUGUAAAGCCAUUAUGUUGCGAAAGAAAUCCAGCCAGCUAAUACCUGAAUGGGAUGACGGCACCCAAAGAAUAAACACCCGGUAACUUCAUGCCACCAACCGCGAUAAUACGAAUGGUGCAAACAUUACUCGGAAUCUACUGCGCAUAUAGCUUGCGUACGAUUGUGCUUAAGUCUGAUAUAAAAGACCUGAGCUCAAACUGUAAACUGCAAUGUAAACUAUAUUACUAGAAUGUGCUAUAGCGUAGCGGAAUUCCUGGUGUAGCAGUGAAAUGCGUAGAUAUCAGGAGGAACAUCCAUGGCGAAGGCAGCUCCCUGGAUCAACACUGACACUGAGGCGCGAAAGCGUGGGGAGCAAACAGGAUUAGAUACCCUGGUAGUCCACGCCCUAAACGAUGCGUGCUGGAUGUUGGGUGCCAUUUGGCACGCAGUAUCGAAUCUAACACGUUACGUUCGCCCCCUGGAGAGCACGGUCGCGAUACUGACUCUCAGAAGAUUUGACGGGGGCCCGCACAAGCGGUGGAGUAUGUGGUUUAAUUCAAUGCCACGCAAAGAAUCUUAAUUGGUCGUGAUCUGUCGAGAACUUUCCAGAUAUGGAAUGGUGCCUUCAGGGAACUAGAUCACGUGCGCUGCGUGUGUGUCCUCAUCUCGUGUCGUGCAGAUGUUGUGGUUAAGUCCCGCUAACGAGCGCAUCCCUUGUCUCUAGUAGCCAGCACGUAAUGGUGGGAACUGUAAGGAGCCCUCAGGUGACCAACCGGAGGAAGGUGGGGAUGAUGUCUAAGUCAUCAUGGCCGUUGCGGUCAGGUCUUCACACGCAUUACAAUGGUAGGGACAGAGGGUUGCAAGCCGGGGACGCUAAGCCAAUCUCAGCAACCCUAUUUCAGUCUGGAUUGGAGUUUGCAACUUGACUCCCAGAAGUUGGAAUUGGUAGUAAUUGCAGAUCAGCCUUGAUGCGGUGAAUACGUUCCCGGGCCU